GGCAUUCGCUAGGGGUGUUGAGGACCGUGAGGUCUUCGACUGAGAAAGUCCCUUUGAACCUGAUUGAGGUAAUCCUCGCGCAGGGAAGCUAGUCCAAAGAACG
rnacentral:ncRNA from 2 species